rnacentral:ncRNA from 2 species
GACCGUCUGCCCACCUACGGUGGGCGGGCCGUGGUGCUCGGGAAGCCGGUGACGGCCCCUCAGGGGGUCCAUGCCGGAGCGGCCCUCGCCACUGUGAUCGGGGAGUUCGCGUACCGCCGUCCCGCGAGGGACGAGCCACUGGCCGCCGCAAGGGGGCCGGGAAGGCAGGUGCGCGGACGCACGACCCGUCAGCCAGGAGACCGGCCGCGGCAUCUCACGAGGU